rnacentral:rRNA from 1 species
UUGCACCUUCCUAUUGAAUGGUCCGGUGAAGCCUCAGGAAUGUGGUCCCUGCUAUUCAGUUAGUGGGGGCCGCAAGAACUUGUCCAAACCUUAUCAUUUAGAGGAAGGUG